rnacentral:rRNA from 1 species
UACGUAGGUGGCAAGCGUUACUCGGAAUCACUAGGCGUAAAGCGCAGGUAGGCGGUUCGGUAAGUCUCUUGUGAAAGCUCCUGGCUCAACUGGGAGAGGUCAAGGGAAACUACCGGACUAGAGUGUGGUAGAGGAAACUGGAAUUCCCGGUGUAGCGGUGAAAUGCGUAGAUAUCGGGAGGAAUACCUAUGGCGAAAGCAGGUUUCUGGGCCAUCACUGACGCUGAGCUGCGAAAGCUAGGGGAGCAAACAGG